UACGUAGGGUGCAAGCGUUAAUCGGAAUUACUGGGCGUAAAGGGCGCGUAGGCGGCCUGGUCAGUCGGAUGUGAAAGCCCGGGGCUCAACCCCGGAACGGCAUCCGAGACGGCCAGGCUGGAGACCGGGAGAGGAGAGUGGAAUAGCCAGUGUAGAGGUGAAAUUCGUAGAUAUUGGCUGGAACACCGGUGGCGAAAGCGGCUCUCUGGCCCGGUUCUGACGCUGAGGCGCGAAAGCGUGGGGAGCAAACAGG
rnacentral:rRNA from 1 species